ACGCAUCGUAUAGUCAUGCUACCAUAAUCGUGCCUCGUGCAUGCGGGCGCGCGACGAGCCUCUUCAGUGACAGGCGUGGGAGUGUGUUGCUGGAACAUGUGACGAGGGUGGCCUCCGGGCUCCGGGUGCUCCGACGCAGCGAAUUUCCUUAAAAGUAGGAGCUGGUAGGAGCUACGGCCGCGCUCGCAAGUCGCUACAAGUGAUUUUUUUCGCGUCACGAGGGACUGCUCCGUGAGAUAUGUGUUUGAACGCUGGGUGAUUGAUCCCAGUGAGAGAGAUGCGCGAGGAUGCUACCUCGGAAUUAGCCUUCCUGCAUUUUUCCACGGCUCACGGUUAACAAAUAGUCGAGAGUUAUGUCGAAGCCUGACGCGCCGAAAUUUGUCACGGCACUUUUCUCUUUCAAAGGGAAGAAUAACGAUGAAUUGUGCUUCAAGAAAGGAGAUGUAAUAAUGAUAACUCAGGUGGACGAUGAAGGCUGGUGGGAGGGCACAUUGCAUGAUAAGACUGGUUGGUUUCCUUCAAAUUAUGUCAAGGAGUACAGGGUUCCAGAUGGUAACCAUACGUCAAUUAAGACGUCUCCAGAAAGGAGUCCACUGGAGUCACCUGCACAUCAAAAGCUCAAUCGUGAUAUAGUGCUAAAGGACAUUGUUGAUUCUGAAAGAGUAAAUGUAGCCGAGCUGCAAGGACUAGUGAAUAAUUUUUUACAACCUCUUGAGACAUCAAAUAUAUUGAAGAAAGAUGAAUAUAAACAGCUACUUGGUAACAUACAUGAGAUCUUGGAGACUCAUCAGUGUUUAUUAGCAAAUUUGGAAGGAACUAUUUUGCAAGGACUCUCUGCAAGAGUAGGGAAUCUCUUUCUAACAAUUGCACCAAGGCUAAAAUCCAUUCAUACUACAUAUUGUAACAAUCAUCCGCAAGCUGUUUGCAUAUUGGAUAGAUACAGAGAUGAAUUAAAUGAAUUUAUGGAGCGCACUGGAGCGAUAUCGCCUGGUAUAUUAGUAUUAACCACUGGCCUUAGCAAGCCGUUCCGAAGGUUGGAUAAGUAUUCUGCUAUGCUUCAAGAAUUAGAAAGAUACACCGAAAAAAAUCAUCCUGACAGAGGAGAUACUCAACGUAGCAUAACAGUAUAUAGGGAAAUUACGGAUCACUGCGCUUCUAUACGUAAGCAGCGUGAAUUAGCGCUUCAAAUAUUAACUAGCGGUAUUAAAGGUUGGGAAGGCGAAGAAUUAAAUUCACUAGGCGAAAUUAUUCACGUUGGAUCUGUGACUUUAGCGACUGGUGUAGAUCGCAGAGAUAGAUAUUUUGUUUUAUUUCCUACCACAUUGCUGGUACUUAGUACCAGUACUAGAAUGAGUUCCUUCAUUUACGAGGGAAAACUUCCAUUAACUGGCAUUAAUGUAACUGGAAUGGAAGAUACGGAUGAAAUAAGAAAUGCUCUGGAGAUCACUGGGCCUAUGAUUGAAAGCAUCGUCGUGCUGUGUACUACAAAGGAGGAGAGACAGCGUUGGAUCGAUCUUUUAAUUCAGGAACAGUGCACUAACCUCCUGAAAUCGCCAACCGUGCCUCGUGUGAGUUGCCAUCAUCCUCCAUACGCUCGACUCUCGAGAUACUUUGCGAAGCUCGUGAGGAGAAAAGUCAUAUAUCCUGAAUUAAUGAAGAAGUUAUUAUAUAUUCAAUACGUCCUGAGGCCAGAUUUAAGUAACGUAAAAAUGAGAAAGUGCAAUGUGACCUAUACUAUUUUUCCUACUCAUAUGAGCGAAGGAUCAGAGUCAGAAACAUCUAUGAAAAGUAAUGUGCAAGAAGAGCCGCGAGUAUUGCGUAAAUCCUCAUUAAUACUGGACGUUAGAUAUGUAAUUGAUAAUACUGAUCUUAGUACUGUUGGAAUAACCAGCACUUCCUCACUCACGAAUUUCGCACCGAGAGUUGAUUGCGACAAUCGAUGUACCUUCGAGACUAGUAAGAGUUUACCUGUCGGUGCUACAAUGAGUCACGUCCUGCCAAACGUUCCGCUCGCGUCAAGUAAAUCGUAUACGUCGAAUCUUCAAGUACGCAAUAAAUUUUGUCGGGAGCAUUUGGAAAAUCUACAUGACGAAGAUCGCAACGAUCUGACUGUGAACUAUAAAUAUUUGAGAGCGAUUGAGGAAUUUUAUCCAAAAAACUUGGACAUCCCAGUUCGAUAUUCCAUGACUUCCGCUCAGAACGAUAAUUGCGAUAGCGUCGGGAAAGAAUUUCGAGAAACAUGCGCAAAUAUUAGCUUACGAUCUUCGGAUUCGGGAAUGGCCGAGAGUUAUCACUUACAUUCAUCUGAAAUUAAUUCCUGUUACAAAUCGUAUACGUCUAGUCAUACCAAAUAUACAGAUCCCGUAAGAACGUCUCAUAGCGAAAGCGAUAAUGAUGAGAAUAAGUUCGAGCAUCAGUGUAUUUGCACUUCGCCAUUUGGUUCUACGCCUCGAGACAGCGCUCACUCGCAGGCUUCGUCCAAAAAUAUUGACGAGUGUGCAAGCUUCGCGAGACCUAAUGAUGUCGGUAGCGAUGCUAACGACGAUUCCAAUAAUAGCGAGAGGAAAGUUCAAGAGACUGUAUUAAUUCAUCCUCUGAUGAAUUACGAAAAUGUACAAGGAAAAAGAUAUACACAACCGAUACCAUAUGCGCAUCAAUGCGUAAUUAAGAAAAUUGGGAGACGCGCAGUGCGUCCAAUUCAGCCAAUUAUGGAGGAACAUGACGAGCCAACAAAUCAAGUGUAUUCAUCUGGAUUGUACGCUCAUUGGUGGCUCAAGAAGUCUAUCCCGAUAUUUGGAUGCGCAGAACAAGCAGACAAACAAUCAACCGAACGGAAAGCACCAACGACCGGCAAUGGAGCAUUGUACAUCUCCAGGAAUUAAGACACCUUGGAGUAUUGCAUCAUUAAGGCCCGCUCCUCCCUUAUAUUCUCUUAAGAACUGUGGAAAAAUAGAAACUACUACAGAUACGUCACGCCCAUCACGAUCAUGCAAUGAGCGACAGUUUGAAGAAGAUGCGAUUAUAUUGAAAGUAAUAGAAGGUUAUUGUCUUUCUGUCAAUGCUAGAUUUACUGUACAUUCUGGAGAAUCUAAUUCAAUGCUAGAUUAUGAGUCACAAAAAUCACGUGAUAGAAUAUCGUUGACACAUAAUAGAAGCAACUGGGAAUCUUGUAAUGACAGGGCAUUAUCGGAAACGGUUAAAACCUUAAAGAAUCAAAUGACUGAUUUACAAUCGCAAAUGUCGCUAUUAACAAAA